UUGGAGGGCAAGUCUGGUGCCAGCAGCCGCGGUAAUUCCAGCUCCAAUAGCGUAUAUUAAAGUUGUUGCAGUUAAAAAGCUCGUAGUUGAACUUCGGGGUUUACCCAUUGGUCAGGCUUAAUUGUCUGUACUGGUGAGAUAAAUCUCUACCUUCUGAGGAACUUUCAUGCCAUUUAUUUGGUGUGAUGGGAAAUCAGGACUGUUACUUUGAAAAAAUUAGAGUGUUUAAAGCAGGCUAACGUCUGAAUACAUUAGCGUGGAAUAAUGAAAUAGGACGGACUGAUUCUAUUUCGUUGGUUUCUAGGAUCACCGUAAUGAUUAAUAGGGAUAGUUGGGGGCAUUAGUAUUCAAUUGUCAGAGGUGAAAUUCUUGGAUUUAUUGAAGACUAACUACUGCGAAAGCAUUUGCCAAGGAUGUUUUCAUUAAUCAAGAACGAAAGUUAGGGGAUCGAAGACGAUCAGAUACCGUCGUAGUCUUAACCAUAAACUAUGCCGACUAGGGAUCGGACGAAGUUAAUUUUAUAAUGACGCGUUCGGCGCCUUACGGGAAAC
rnacentral:rRNA from 1 species